GACGAACGCUGGCGGCGUGCCUAAUACAUGCAAGUAGAACGCUGAAGGAGGAGCUUGCUUCUCUGGAUGAGUUGCGAACGGGUGAGUAACGCGUAGGUAACCUGCCUGGUAGCGGGGGAUAACUAUUGGAAACGAUAGCUAAUACCGCAUAAGAGUAGAUGUUGCAUGACAUUUGCUUAAAAGGUGCAAUUGCAUCACUACCAGAUGGACCUGCGUUGUAUUAGCUAGUUGGUGAGGUAACGGCUCACCAAGGCGACGAUACAUAGCCGACCUGAGAGGGUGAUCGGCCACACUGGGACUGAGACACGGCCCAGACUCCUACGGGAGGCAGCAGUAGGGAAUCUUCGGCAAUGGACGGAAGGCUGACCGAGCAACGCCGCGUGAGUGAAGAAGGGUUUCGGAUCGUAAAGCUCUGUUGUAAGAGAAGAACGAGUGUGAGAGUGGAAAGUUCACACUGUGACGGUAUCUUACCAGAAAGGGACGGCUAACUACGUG
rnacentral:rRNA from 1 species